rnacentral:rRNA from 1 species
UGGGGAAUAUUGGACAAUGGGGGCAACCCUGAUCCAGCGAUGCCGCGUGUGCGAAGAAGGCCUGCGGGUUGUAAAGCACUUUGGUGGGGGAAGAAGUGAUUUGGUUGAAUAGGCUGAAUUAUUGACGUUACCCCAAGAACAAGCACCGGCUAACUCUGUGCCAGCAGCCGCGGUAAUACAGAGGGUGCGAGCGUUAAUCGGAAUUACUGGGCGUAAAGGGCGCGUAGGCGGUUUAUUAAGUUAGAUGUGAAAAUUCUGGGCUUAACCUAGAACGUGCAUUUAAGACUGAUGAGCUAGAGUAUUGUAGAGGGAAGUGGAAUUUCCGGUGUAGCGGUGAAAUGCGUAGAUAUCGGAAAGAACAUCAGUGGCGAAGGCGGCUUCCUGGACAAAUACUGACGCUGAGGCGCGAAAGCAUGGGUAGCAAACAG